CCGGGCUGCGCGUGCGCGGUGCGAGUCGGCGGUGCCACUUUUGUAGUUGGCAGGCGUUGCGUUGCGUCGCUGUAGCUGUGUUCCGUAGGGAGAUCCAGAUGAAGAACUCUCAGUCACCUCUCCAGCACCGUAUCUGCCUGCAUGCCACUAUGCUUCUUGCCAUGAUGAUAAUGGACUAAACCUCUGCACUAUAAGCCAACACCAAUUGAAUGUUUUCCUUUUUCCUCAUGUUGUGGUGACCGCCAACCAUAAAAUUAUUUUGUUGCAAGGCUGGAGAGAUGGCUCGGCAGUUAAGAGCACUGACUGUUCUUCCAGAGGUCCGGAGUUCAAUUCCCAGCAACCACAUGGUGGCUAACAACCACCUUGAAUGAGAUUUGGUGCCUUCUGCUGGCAUGCAGGCAGCAGAAGACUGUAUACAUAAUAAAUAAAAUCUUUUUUAAAAAACUAUUUUGCGGCUACUUCAUAGCUGUAAUUGUUUUUGUUUGUUUUUCGAGACAGGGUUUCUCUAUGUAGCUUUGGAGGCUGUCCUGGAACUCACUCUGGAGACCAGGCUGGCCUCGAACUCCCAGAGAUCCGCCUGCCUCUACCUCCCGAGUUCUGGAA
rnacentral:lncRNA from 1 species